UACGUAGGUGGCAAGCGUUAUCCGGAAUUAUUGGGCGUAAAGCGCGCGCAGGUGGUUUCUUAAGUCUGAUGUGAAAGCCCACGGCUCAACCGUGGAGGGUCAUUGGAAACUGGGAGACUUGAGUGCAGAAGAGGAAAGUGGAAUUCCAUGUGUAGCGGUGAAAUGCGUAGAUAUCUGGAAGAACACCAAUGCGAAAGGCACCAUCCUGGGAAGCAUCUGACGCUCAGGUGCGAAAGCUAGGGGAGCGAACGGG
rnacentral:rRNA from 1 species